rnacentral:lncRNA from 10 species
CUUCCACGUGGGGGAGGAUUUGUUUUUUUGCUCUUUGUAUUAAGUUCCUGCUGUUCAGUUGUGGGGUCCACACUGCUUUCAUGAGCUGUAACACUCACGAUGAUGGUCUGCAGCUUCGCUCCUGAAGCCAGCGAGACCACAAACCCACUGGGAGGAACGAGCAAGUCUAGACGCGCCACCUUAAGAGCUGUAACACUCACUGCGAAGGUCUGCAGUUUCACUCUUGAGCUAGCGAGACCAAGAACCCACCGGAAGGAAGAAACUCGGAACACAUCUGAACAUCAGAAGAAACAAACUCCAGACACGCUGCCUUUAACAACUGUAAUACUCACUGCGAGGGUCCAGCACUUCAUUCUUGAAGUGAUUCUAAUGCAUGCUGAAAUUUAAGAACCACGGUAUACCUGGGAGUGAAAUUGAUGGGCCAUAGUACAGAGCUAGUCAAGGACGCUGAGCCUGCAGAAGAAAGGCAGAUUCUUGUUUGCAUAAUUGGUAGCACCAUGACAACCAGUUCUUAUUGUGAGGAUCAGUCAUUUAGUGCUGAUGAUGCCACUCCAGCGACCAAUCCAGGUAGGAGAAGUGUAGCUGCCAUGGUGACAGGAAUCAAGAAGCAGUUUCCUUGGAAGCAUAAGGAUCUAGAGCCCCCUGAGGUUCAGGCUGCCUGUUGGGGCAGUGCAGGGCCAGAUAGAGGUGCUAGGCUCCUGUGAUUGCCUCGCCCAGGCCACCACAGUCUUUCUUGGACCAAGACAACACUUCCUAACUGAUCUAUUGAUUCCACUCUUUCCCCUAUCAAUAUAUUCUCAAGUAGCCUUUUAAAAUUAUAUAUCACAUAAUUCUAUUCCCUUCCUUAAAAUCCCCAGUGAUUUUUCCUCUGUACUUUGCAUAAGAUCUGGACGCUCUACUGUUGCCUACAGAGCUCUGUCUAGGCAAUUUUGGACUUAUUUCUCCAAUCCCAUCUCCUAUCACUGGUUGUUCUGUUUGUUUUUCUAAAGUGCCAUUUGAGAAAUGAAAAAAUAUAAUAACUAAAAUAAAAACUCACUGGAUGAGCUCCAAGCGGGAUAGAAAUGACAGAAGAGUCAGUCAACUUGAAGAUGGGUCAACAGAAAUAAUCCAAUCAGAACAAGAGAGAGAAAAAACAUUGGGAAAAAAAAAGUUAACAGAACUUCAGGGACCUGUAGGGCAAUAUCAAAAGUCCAAAAUUAAUGUCAUUGGAAUUCCAGAUUAAGAGGAUAAAGUGCAGUACACACAAAAAUUUUGAAGAAAUAAUUUCUGAAAAAUUCCCAAAUGUGUGAAAAGACAUAAGCCUAAAGAUUAAAGAAGCUUAAGGAAUGCCAAAUAGAAUAAACUCAAAGAAGUCUAUACUCUUGACACAUUAUAAUCAAAAAUUCUAAACACUGAAACAAAGAAAAAAAUCUUAAACAACACACGACUAAAGAACAAUGGGAUUCAGAAAACUGAAUUUUUCAUUAUAAACCAUGUGGGCCAGAAGGAAGUGAAAUAACAUCUUUAAAGUUGUGAGAGAAAUGAGCUGCCAACUGAGGAUUCUAUAUCCAGCAAAAAUAUACUUUAAGAAUGAAAGUGAAAUAAGGAUAUUCUCAGAUGAAGAAAAACUAAGAUAAUUAAUUGCUAGUAGAAACAUCAGGAAUGAAGAAGAGGAACAGAAAUGACAAGUGUCUGAAUAAAUAUCAUAGACUAUUCUUCCCCUUGUGAGUUAUGUAAAAUAUGUUUGGUUAAAAGCAAAAAUUCCAGCCUGGGCAACAUGGCAAAACCCUGUCUCUACCAAAAAAAACCCAAAAAACAAAAACACAAAAACAAAAAAUUAGCCAGGCAUGGUGUCACACACAUGUAGUCCUACUUAGGAGGCUGAGGAAGGAGGAUUAUCUGAGCCCAGGGAGGUCAAGGCUGCAGUGAGCCAUGAUCGCACUACUGCAUUCCAGCCUAGGCAACAGAGUGAGACCCUGUCUCAAUAAAUAAAUAAAUAAAUAAUAAGGUUGGGUACAGUGGCUCACACCUGUAAUCCCAGUACUUUGAGAGGCUGAAGUAGGAGAAUCACUUGAGCUCAGGAGUUGGAGACUAGCCUGGGAAACAUAGCAAGACCUCGUCUCUACUAAAAAUUAAAAAAAUUCCAGCCUGGAAACAUGGCGAAACCCUGUCUCUACAGAAAAUACAAAAAUUAGCUGGGUGUGGUGGUGUGUGCCUGUAGUCCCAGCUACUCAGGAGGCUGAGGCAGGAGGAUUGCUUGAGCCUGGGAGGUGGAGGUUGCAGUGAGCUGAAAUCAUGCCAUCGUACUCCAACGUGGGUCACAGUGUGAGACACUCCCCCCAAAAAAAAAAAAAAAUUCACUGGGCUGGUUCUGAUGGGACAGCAUGCCUGUAGUCUUAGCUAUUCAGAAUGCUGAGGCAGGAAGAUCACUUGAGCCCAGGAGAUAGAGAUUGCAGUGAGCUAUGAUCACACUACUGCACUCCAGCCUGGGCAACCUGUCAAAAAAAAAAAGCAUAAAUUAUAACAUUGAUAGGAUUUUCAAUGUAUGUAAAUGUAAUUGAUUCUAAUAGACAACUACAGCAUAAAUGGGGAAGGUAAAGAGAUCUGUAUGCUGGUAAGAUUUCUAUAUUACAUUUAAAACGGCAAAAUAGUGAUUAAAAGUAGACUUGGAAAAAUUAAGUAUGUACACUGUAAUCCCUAGAGCAUCCACUGAAAAAAUUAUACAAAGAAAUAUAGUAAAAAAUUACAACAGAUACAUUAAAAUAGAAUAUUUAAAAGUUUUCCAAUAAUCUAAAGAAGGAAAGGGGAGGAAAGGAACAACACAACAAAAAAAAGAGGAAACAAACAGAAAAGAAACAAUAAAAUGGUAGAUGUAAAUCCAAAGAUACCAAUAAUUGUACAUUGUCUAAACAUAUAGAUUUAAAGACAAAUGACCAGAAUGGCUUUAAAAAAUAACCCAACAACAUGUUAUCUACAAGAAAUUCUCUUUAAAUAUAACUAUGUAUGUAGAUAGGUUACAGGUAAACAAAUGAGAAAAAGUAUGAUGUGUUAACAUGAAUCAAAUAAAAACUGGAGUAGCUAUAUUAAUGUUAGAUUGACUUCAGCACAAAGAAAAAUACCAGGGAUAAAGAGGAACAUUACAUAAUGAUAAAAGGGUCAAGUCAUCAAGAAGACAUAGAACUCUUGAUGUGUAUGUACCUAACACCAGAGCCUCAAAAUACAUGAUGCAAAAAUGAACAAUUAUAAAAGGAGAAAUAGACAAAUCCAUAAUA